UACAUUCCAAACAGUUUUGGAAGGGGCAAACAUCCAAGCCACAGCAAGACUCGACUUCAUACAAGCAUCAUGAUCCUAGAAUGGACGUCUCUACACGCCAAUGUGUCAGAGCACCUGAGCAUGCCCCGAACAGAGUCUCAGAUGCCAUUAGAAUAAGAGAAGAAGAAGAAAGGAGGAGGAGGGGGAGGAGAAGAAGAAGAAGAUGAUGAUGAUUAAGAUUUUAAACCGUCACGUGGUGUUUCUCUUGAAGCAUGAGCUGUGGGAGGAACCCAGGCCAAGAGGAUGACAGAGUGAGGUAUUUUUCCUUUCCACUCUUCCUGCACAAAACCAGCACUGGGCUCCGGCAUUCCUGCUCCACCCACCUGAGCCUGAGGAAGCCUCCUGCCUGGUUUUGGGGCCAGUGCUUUUCCGCCUGGCCUGCCCCGCCAGGGCCCUGACAGGGUGCUGUUUCCUCUGUGCCUGCUGCUAUCAGCCAGCCGCCCCACAUGGCUCCCUGCUGCUGGCCUCAGGUUUCCUGGGCUGGGUCAUCCUGCCAGCGUUUUGGCCACAUAUCUCCCUCUUGUACCUGAAAAUCCCUUUCAUUCUCUCUCUCCUUCCUCUGCAUCAUUUUAAAUCACAUGGCAAAGUUCUAUUUUUACCUUUUCUUUAAAUACACUUACCCCUGAGCACUCAAUGACUCUCAUUUCUUUCCCUUGACUUUCCAGGUAAAUUCCCACUGGGCGACUAGUUAUUUGUAUUUUAGCAAUCAGCCUCGGGGUUCCUUCCAGCUGCUGCCAUUAAAAGAACUAAAGCAAAACACCAAAAUAAGCCCUAAUGCUACUUUUCUCUGUAGUGUAUCUGAGAACAAUCCAUCAACUGCAGCUGAUAACAAGGCCCCAUACACCCCAUAAUUACAGUUAUGCCUGCUGUAUUUUGGUGCUGGCAAGAAAGGAGAUGGAGUUAACUGAUAAAAUUCUUAUGCAAUUUGAGCAUCUCUCUUUGAAUUUCUUCAUCCACACCAAAAAUUUACCUUUGGUACUAAUUUAAAAAGGAACCUAAGAUGUGAGUCAGGGCACUUUAAUCCUAAAGCACUUCAUAUAUGAUGUAAGUUUAAGAGUUUAAAUUAAAAGCUAGCAUUUAGUGAUUGCUCAGUUUAUAGAAUUGCUUCUUGUAAUCCUUACUAGAACCAGUGCACACAGUGAUUUAGUUGUACACUGCACAAGAGAAGACUGCCACAUCAUGUUCUGCUUUAUUGUCCUGAAGAUUUUUCACAUUUUUAUCAUAACAUAGUUAACUUCAAAGAUGAGUGAGCCACACAUUUAUUAAGGCAGUCUUCUGACAGGUGUUAGUGACAUGUCUUAUUUUAAUAGGAUUGAUACAUAUCACAUUCCUUGUGGACUUACAAGGGAGAAUAUGUUUAUUGAGAUUUUGAUGACCUACCGACAUUCAAAACAACCUGUUUCUAAGUAAGAAGUUGCUUUUCUCACAGUCUUACUAAUUAGUAUCUAAACUUCUUUUUUUAAUCUCUUAUCAGCUCAACACCUUGUGGCCACAUAGUCUGCCACUUGUUAGACUGCAGAGCUCCAUUUCAAACAUACAGGCGCUUUCAUUAUGAUACCAAUGGCUACGGAAUAGCUAAUAUUAAGUUAGCAUUAAUAAUAUACAAAGUAUUAAAUUGACAUAAAUUAAAGAUUACGAUGUAACGAUCUUCUAAUUAUACUAGAGCAUUU